rnacentral:rRNA from 1 species
GAACGCUGGCGGCAUGCUUAACACAUGCAAGUCGAACGGUAACAGGCCGCUGUGAUCCCUUCGGGGUGAACUUGGUGCUGACGAGUGGCGGACGGGUGAGUAAUGCUUAGGAAUCUGCCCAGAAGUGGGGGACAACCCGAGGAAACUCGGGCUAAUACCGCAUAAGCCCUUCGGGGGAAAGCGGGGGACUUUUCGGAGCCUCGCGCUUUUGGAUGAGCCUAAGUCGGAUUAGCUUGAUGGUGAGGUAAAAGCUCACCAUGGCGACGAUCCGUAGCUGGUCUGAGAGGACGAUCAGCCACACUGGGACUGAGACACGGCCCUAGACUCCUACGGGAGGCAGCAGUGGGGAAUAUUGGACAAUGGGGGCAACCCUGAUCCAGCAAUGCCGCGUGUGUGAAGAAGGCCUGCGGGUUGUAAAGCACUUUCAGUAGGGAAGAAAAGCCCGAGGUUAAUAACCUCGGGUCUUGACGUAACCUAAAGAAGAAGCACCGGCUAACUCCGUGCCAGCAGCCGCGGUAAUACGGAGGGUGCGAGCGUUAAUCGGAAUUACUGGGCGUAAAGCGCGCGCAGGCGGCUGGGUCAGUCGGAUGUGAAAGCCCCGGGCUUAACCUGGGAAUUGCAUUCGAUACUGCCCGGCUAGAGUAUGGGAGAGGGAAGUGGAAUUUCCGGUGUAGCGGUGAAAUGCGUAGAUAUCGGAAGGAACACCAGUGGCGAAGGCGGCUUCCUGGCCCAAUACUGACGCUCAGGUGCGAAAGCGUGGGGAGCGAACAGGAUUAGAUACCCUGGUAGUCCACGCUGUAAACGAUGAGAACUAGAUGUUGGGAGGGUUUGCCUCUCAGUGUCGCAGCUAACGCGUUAAGUUCUCCGCCUGGGGAGUACGACCGCAAGGUUGAAACUCAAAGGAAUUGACGGG